rnacentral:rRNA from 1 species
GACGAACGCUGGCGGCGCGCCUAACACAUGCAAGUCGAACGAGCGAGAGAGAGCUUGCUUUCUCGAGCGAGUGGCGAACGGGUGAGUAACGCGUGAGGAACCUGCCUCAAAGAGGGGGACAACAGUUGGAAACGACUGCUAAUACCGCAUAAGCCCACGGGUCGGCAUCGACCAGAGGGAAAAGGAGCAAUCCGCUUUGAGAUGGCCUCGCGUCCGAUUAGCUUGUUGGGGAGGUAACGGCCCACCAAGGCAACGAUCGGUAGCCGGACAGAGAGGUUGAACGGCGACAUUGGGACUGAGACACAGCCCAGAAUACUACGGGAGGCAGCAGAGGGGAAUAUUGCACAAUGGGGGGAACGCUGAUGCAGCGACGCCGCGUGAAGGAAGAAGGUCUUAGGAUUGUAAACUCCUGUUGUUGGGGAAGAUAAUGACGGUACCCAACAAGGAAGUGACGGCUAACUACGUG